UGCCCAGUGACUCCAGUUUAACGGCCGCGGUAUCCUGACCGUGCAAAGGUAGCAUAAUCAUUUGUUCUCUAAAUAAGGACUUGUAUGAAUGGCCCCACGAAGGUUUUGCUGUCUCUUAUUUUCAAUCAGUGAAAUUGACAUCCCCGUGAAGAGGCGGGAAUAAAAAAAUAAGACGAGAAGACCCUAUGGAGCUUUAACUAAUUAACUCACAAACCCUUAUCCGUUUUCUAUAAGAAAUAAACCACUUUUAAUUGAGUUAACAGUUUAGGUUGGGGUGACCUCGGAAUAAAAAUUAACUUCCGAGAAAAAUUAUUGAGACCUACAAGUCAAAAUUAUUAUACUAUAUACUGAUCCGCCACUGGCGAUCAACGAAAUAAGUUACCCUAGGGAUAACAGCGCAAUCCUAUUUAAGAGUUCAUAUCGACAAUAAGGGUUUACGACCUCGAUGUUGGAUCAGGACAUCCCAAUGGUGCAGCAGCUAUUAAUGUGUUCGUUUGUUCAACGAUUAAAGUCCUACGUGAUCUGAGU
rnacentral:rRNA from 1 species